CUACGUGCCAGCAGCCGCGGUAAUACGUAGGUCCCGAGCGUUAUCCGGAUUUAUUGGGCGUAAAGCGAGCGCAGGCGGUUAGAUAAGUCUGAAGUUAAAGGCUGUGGCUUAACCAUAGUACGCUUUGGAAACUGUUUAACUUGAGUGCAAGAGGGGAGAGUGGAAUUCCAUGUGUAGCGGUGAAAUGCGUAGAUAUAUGGAGGAACACCGGUGGCGAAAGCGGCUCUCUGGCUUGUAACUGACGCUGAGGCUCGAAAGCGUGGGGAGCAAACAGGAUUAGAUACCCCGGUAGUCCUGGCCGUAAACGAUGGGUACUAGGUGUAGGAGGUAUCGACCCCUUCUGUGCCGGAGUUAACGCAAUAAGUACCCCGCCUGGGGAGUACGACCGCAAGGUUGAAACUCAAAGGAAUUGACGGGGGCCCGCACAAGCGGUGGAGUAUGUGGUUUAAUUCGACGCAACGCGAAGAACCUUACCAGGUCUUGACAUUGAKGACAGAACUAGAGAUAG
rnacentral:rRNA from 1 species